AGAAUAAUACGCUAACUACAAAAAAAGAAAGAGAUUCAAUGGAAUCCGUUUCAUCCGUGAUUGAUGGUCCUAAGGUAUGAAUAAUUAUCCAUGGAAACGGGGGGAUACGAAGCGAUGAUCGACAGAAGAAAAGCCGUGGAUCGUGUACCCCGUGUCCCAAGCCGACGUUCCGUGCAUAACUUAUAUUUUCUUCGUUGCGAAUGAAAUUGUCAUCGAAUAAAACUAGAUUCUCGUUCUUUGAAAGUGCGAGAUUAAUUUUAGGUUGCGCUUGUUCGUCGCUGAAGAUAUGAUAUAUAAUUCUGACCCACGUGGAAUUUGGACUUGGAAUUAAUAAAAAAAGAUGCCGUCUUACGGACAUGCCGGCAUGAAGAAGAACUUCAUUGUCACAAUUGAGAAAUAAAUUUUGAAAUAUUUGCAGAUACGCGCAUGAACA